GCUCACGUAGCUUAACAAAAGCGCGACGCUGAAGAUGUCAAGAUGGCCCCUAGUCAGAGCCCGAGAGCACA
rnacentral:tRNA from 1 species